rnacentral:rRNA from 1 species
AGACGUCUACAUUAGAUACCCGGGUAGUCCUAGCCGUAAACGAUACUCGCUAGGUGUCGGCCACGGUGCGACCGUUGUCGGUGCCGUAGGGAAGCCGUGAAGCGAGCCACCUGGGAAGUACGGCCGCAAGGCUGAAACUUAAAGGAAUUGGCGGGGGAGCACAACAACGGGUGGAGCUUGCGGUUUAAUUGGAUUCAACGCCGGAGAUCUUACCGGGACCGACAGCAACAUGAAGGCCAAGCUGAAGACUUUGCCGGAUUAGCUG